rnacentral:tRNA from 1 species
GCCCCGGUGGUGUAGUCUGGUCUAGCAUUGAUGGCUGUCACCCAUCCGACUCGGGUUCAAAUCCCGACCGGGGCGCCA